AUUGGCCAACCCUGACGAAGCAAUGCCGCGUGAAUGAAGAAGGCCUUCGGGUUGUAAAGUUCUUUCGUGGAGGACGAAAAGGUGGGUGCUAAUAUCGCCUGCUGUUGACGUGAAUCCAAGAAGAAGCACCGGCUAACUCCGUGCCAGCAGCCGCGGUAAUACGGGGGGUGCAAGCGUUAAUCGGUAUCACUGGGCGUAAAGGGUGCGUAGGCGGUGCAUUAGGUCUGUCGUGAAAUCCCCGGGCUCAACCUGGGGAUGGCGGUGGAAACCGGUGUACUAGAGUAUGGGAGAGGGUGGUGGAAUUCCAGGUGUAGCGGUGAAAUGCGUAGAGAUCUGGAGGAACAUCAGUGGCGAAGGCGGCCACCUGGCCCAAUACUGACGCUGAGGCACGAAAGCGUGGGGAGCAAACAGGAUUAGAUACCCUGGUAGUCCACGCCCUAAACGAUGAAUACUAGAUGUUUGGUGCCAAGCGUACUGAGUGUCGUAGCUAACGCGAUAAGUAUUCCGCCUGGGAAGUACGGCCGCAAGGUUAAAACUCA
rnacentral:rRNA from 1 species